GCCAGGCACAGUGGUGCAUGCCUGUAAUCCCAGCAGCUUGGGAGGCUGAGGCAGGGGGAUUGCAAGUUCAAUGCCAGCCUCAGCAAAAGCCAGGCACUAGGCAACUCAGUAAGACUCUGUCUCUA
rnacentral:sRNA from 1 species